rnacentral:misc_RNA from 1 species
GUUAAUAUUUUAUACCCAUUUUGUUCUGUACGUUUAUUUAUUUAUUUUUUUUAAAGUCAUUCAGUGAGUAUUUUUUUAAUGCAUUUUUUUGUUAGACAAUUACUGUUUAGCACUGUAUAUUUUACCAAUUCUGGGCAGCAGAGAUAGAAUCUCUGUUUUAGCAGGCUGCGACUUGGCAUCACAGCAUUGGUUGCCAGUGUUGUUAAUUCUUAACAAUUGUUCUGGCGCCACACGCUAGUGCUGUUUGUUGGCCUACUCAGCUCCAUGUGGUAGAUUUUACAAAAAGAACAUAAUCCAGAAAGAUUUUCAAUGAUGAACAUCUUAAUAUAGGAAAGUUCUACCAAAUAAAAAUUAAAUAACAUAUACAAGUAUAUUUCUCAGUCACUGCAUAUCUGCCUAUCUUCUUUCCAGAUGAUUUAAUCAAUAUCCAUGAAUUCACCAGUUACCCUGCCAAAGAGCAUGUGAUCAGCAGUUGUUUCAUGGAAGGCGUUUAAGCAAACCAAAACCAUACCACCACCACCACAACCACAACAACAAAAAUAACCUUUUGUUAAUGCAGAUAUUCUGGCAGAAGAAAGAAACCAAUGAUAUGAACAUCAGUCGGGUAAAUUACACCAUUGAUAUAGCCAUACCUUGCACUGGUUUCCAAUUUCAUAAGAAAACUUCUAUUUUUGUCAAUUUAGUAACAACACUUUGAUCUGUUGCAAUUGAGCCAUCCUCACCAAAAUCUGAUCAAAUGGACACUAGAAAUCUAACAAUGCAUCUAUCUUAGACUAUUAUAAUCUUAAUAAUCAUAUGUGGAGCUCCUAAAAUGAAGACUUUGAUCUUUAGGUACCCCACAUGAGAUUACUAGGAUUUAAAAAUAUCUUUUAUAUGCCACAUGAGAUUUCCAAUGUUCAAUUCAUUGAAUUCUAGUUGAGGAUGGGCCAAUUGCAAUUUAAUCAAAUACGUCUCAUACCAUAUUGAUAUAAAUUGAAGUUUUAUACCUAUUAUAGGACAAGGCAGCAUCACCUAUGGUUCCAACGACCUUAUUUCGCACCUUCCGAACACAAACCUGUACUUGAUCAACCGGUCCAGCCUCAGGAUCCCUGUUACGGUGAAUAACAAUCCCAUUGUCACAUUUGUUUAUGAAGUGGGCACUGCCACUUAUAUCAUACAGAUUGGGAGGAGCCCCAACCCAGUUGUGUAACUGUCUGGGAUGUGCUACAAACCAAACAUGACAAGCAUAAUGUUGAGCAAACCGUUUGACCAGUGUAAGCAUCUGACUUACAUACUCUGUUUCAGUCAUGCUAAUAGGACGCUGAUGGUCAAGCUCAUUGUAAGGAUCAAUUACAAGUCCUCGCACACCAUGCCUUAGAACUGCUGCUUUUGCAAGAUCAAGAACCCAAUUUACACUUGGAAGUUUAUCAUCCUCACAUCUUAUGAGGUAAAAUGUAUCAUUCAACCACCGUUUUCCUUCCUCCAACUCUUCAACACUCAUUCGUUCAACAGACCCUCCAUAACGCGCAUCAAAAAAGGGCUUCUUUAUAUGUUUCUCCAAAAGUUUCCUAGCAUGUUCCCGGACUCUGUUCUCCAUAGAGCAAAGUGCAAAUUUCCAGCCAACAGUGCUGUUAAGAUUGCAUAAGAGAGCAUCAAUCCACUCACUCUUACCAGAAUUGGGAACCCCAGUUACUAUAGUCAACUCUCCUGGCAUAACUUUGUAUAAUUCAUUUAGAGCCUUCCACCCAGUUGAUACGCCACAUUCAUAACCAAGAGUUCGAUUAUAGUAGUCAUCAAUUUCAAUAAAGUAAUCCCUGAACUUGAACAACCCACGGAUGGGGUAUAACUCUGCAUUUUCAAUUGCUUCCCGAAGUGCAUUGGGACCCAAAAACAUGAGAACCUCAUUUGCAUCUUUGCAAUACUCCUCUUUAUUUUUCUUUGGCCACUUGACUCUCCAGCAUCUUUCCCUUCCAAUACGACGUGCGAUCUCUUCAGCUAAAGCUUGACCAGGUGGAUCUUCAUCAGUAGCAAGUAUUAUACGAGAUGCCUUAUUCAAGUACUCUUUGCAAUUCCACAGAUAUUGAUAUUUUGUGUCCUUCUCUUCAGAAGGCAACUCUUUUGAAGAAACUUUUGGAGGCGCGCCAUCAGGUACACUCACACAAGUACGGAACCCAGCUUCUUCCAUUGCAAGCUUGUCUAUUUCACCUUCAACAAUAAUGAUAUCAUCAGCUUCCUUGAUAUCAUCCAGUCCAUAAAAUAUUUUUUCUGUAUCCCUUUCCUGCAAAAAUUUCUUGUUGCUAUCUCGAUAUUUGCAGCUGGUAAGAACUCCAUUUCGCCAAUAUGUAAAUGCAAUCAUAAUCUGCCAAUAAAAUGCAAAGAAUUAUUUCACAAGGCAGAAGCUGCAGAACUGUUGCCCACAUUAGAUUGAAAUGACAAAUAAAAUAUCUGCCACAAGAACAGAUCAUCAAAGGAUUACUAUUUCAUAUAGGCAAAAUAUUCCACCAUCCACCCCUUCCCACAAAAUGAAAAAAAAGAUAAAUAAAUAAAUAAACUUUUGCUCGAGCUACACCAUAACAUGACAUAACCAUUGAUUACUUUUUCUUGAUUCAGCAAUAUCAUGCACCUGAGAACCAUAGCUUUUUUGCAUAACACGAUUUCUCUGUAACGUCUCUGCUGAUAUUAACCGCUCUGCAAAGUAACCAAUGAGCUCGCUACAUAGUGGUUCCAAUUUCAGACUCUCCACAGUGAUUUCCCUUUUCUGCUUAACCUUG